rnacentral:lncRNA from 14 species
CCUCGCAGCCGCUGCAUCCCCCCCACGCCGGGUACCACACCCCCGCAUCCUCCAUCUCCCGCAUCCUCCGUCCCUCCUCACAUCCCCCGCAUCCCUCCACGCCCUCCGCAUCCCCGCACCCCACGCAUCCCUCCCUACCCCGUAUCCUCACUCCGCCCCCCCGAUCGCAGCUCCCCCCCCCGUUCCGCAGCCCAAUCAGGGCCGCUCGGAGGAAUUCAAACCCCGGCCCCGCAAGCGCCGGCGGCGGCUCCGCUCCGCUCCCGGGCCGGGCAGGCUGCGCCGUGGAGAGGCGGCGGGGCCGGUCCGGAUGGGCUCGGGGAGCGGCGGAGCGGGCGCGGCCCCUGCCCGCCGCCCGGAGCGCAGCCCUGGAGAGCCGGAGCCCAGCUCGGUGACGGGGCUGUGUGGGCACAGCCUGGCCCUGCUCCUGUCCCCACGCAGCUGCAGCCAGGAGCUCUGGGCUCGCCCAGGAGCCGAUCCCGAGGGGUUGCCCAUGGAAUAGGCGCUUUUCCAGGUGCCUGGGCACACGAGAGGCUGAAGUUGGUCGCCCCGGGGCACCCGAACCUGCCCUGCCCUGGAGCCCCCGGCCUCUGCCAUGAAUGAUGCAUCCACCAUGGAUUAUGAACUGCUCUCCCCGUCCCUGGUGGAGCACCCCGCCGGCGCCGCGGGCAUGGAUGCCGAGCAGAAAACUGUCUUUGCCUUCGUCAUCUUCCUCCUGGUGUUCCUGGUGAUGCUGAUGGUGCGCUGCUUCCGCAUCCUGCUGGACCCCUACAGCCGCAUGCCCGCCUCCUCCUGGACGGACCACAAGGAGGGCUUGGAGCGGGGCCAGUUCGACUACGCCCUGGUGUGAGGGGAGCCCGGGCCGAGCUCCGGCCCCGCUCCCCCUCCAUCCCUCCCUCCUUCCCUCCCUCCCUCCGCAGGGAUGCUCCGGGCAGGGGGGCAAGCAGGGGGUCCGGCCCCGGGGAGGUUUUCUAGGGGUUUCUCUCUUUUCUAAGCACUUUUCAGUUCUCUCGGCAGCCCGCGGGACGCUGGGGGUUGGACGGGGGGCCUGGACGGGGACCCCGCUGCCCCCCGUGCCCCCGGGCACCGCGGACGGGGCAUGGCGGGACCUGCCCUCGGCCCGCGGGGCCCCUGGGCUGGGCUCUGCCCGGUGCCAGGCCCGAGCUUUGACCCCCGUGCCCCCGCUGCCCCCCGUGCCCCCGGCAGUGCCCCCGUGGUCAGUGCGUGUCUGUGUGUCCUGUAGCUGAGCUGUGUCCCUCAGGGGUUUCUCGGCACCGGCCCCCAGUGCUGGCUUUGUUCCCCCUCUGUGCCACUCCCGAGCCCCCCAAAAGGGAGGGGAGGGUGGAGACCCCCCCUGUGCAGCCCCCCUUGGCCUCCGGCCCUGUCCCUGCCCAGCUGGUGACACCGGGCUGGGCGAGGGGCAGUCCUGGCCUGGGGACACCAGGACGGGUCAGGGGUCCCCAAAACACCCGGGAGAGGCUCCUGGGGCAUCUCUGCCGGGGUGUCCGGCCCUUCCCGGGCUCUCCCAGGGCUCUGGAAGUGGCCGAGGGGCUGCCAAGGGCCGUGGUGGGCAGCGGGAGGGCCCUGCCAAGGGAUUUGGGCCCGGGGGGGAGGGAGAACCUCGCCCCCCUCCAUGGACGUGAAGGGAUUUGGAAAUAAAGCCGCACCGUGCCGACCCCAGC